CUGCCUGAUUAUUUUAUAAACUUACUGUAUAAGCAACGCUUGUCAGAGAAGUAAAAUGAUACCAUGACGAGGAUGUAAAAAGUGCGGAAUCUGAUAUUUAGCAGUUGUUGUUUAUUAAUGUGGUUCAUAAGUGUAUUCAUUUUUUUUAAAGGUUAGACUUUUGGUUUUCACGUUGGUUUUCCCGUUUGAAUGGUUUAAAACUAAUAAUAUUUGGGGCCUUUAUAGCAUGCUGUUCGGUGUGAGCCAAGGCUCCGUGUUGAAGACCGUACUUUGACCUAUAUUUUGUUUUAAUUUUUUUUGUCUCAAUAUUAGGGAUCUGAUACCACAUCUUUUUAUGGCUAAUGAGCGCCCUUGUGCAUAUUUUUGUUUACUGAAUCGUAGAAAAUCGUCUUAUCUUUGUCGUCAAAAAGACCAUAAGAGAGAGGUCAAAUUAAAGAUUAAAGCAAAAUUAGUUAUAUGUUUAC
rnacentral:lncRNA from 1 species